GAUAUAUGGCUCACUGGUAGAGUACUUGCCUAACAAGUAUAAAGGCCCUGAGUUCAAGCCCCAGUACUAUCA
rnacentral:tRNA from 1 species